GUCCCCCUUAAGCUAUGUAUUUAUCUCUUGAAACUGUUUGCUGUUGUCACAAGUAGCUAUAAAUUACCCUAAUAAUGCCACCCUGGACACUAUAAGCCACACCCUAUAGUUUAGCAGUGUAUAGCCAGUCACUAAUCCCUGUUAUUUCUGUAAACCAAAGAGAAUUCCUUACAACAACUUUGUAUGAGCUCACUUCCCAUCCCUCUUUUUUGCCUUUAAAAACUUGCUUGUAACAAAGGCUGGGCGGAGCUCACAUUCAACGUUUCUUGGGUCUAAAUCUUCCGGGCAGCUGUCUACACUUUGGCUCAGGGUCUUGUUCUGUCACCCAGGCUGGAGUGCAGGGGCAUGAUCACUGCUCACCCCAACGUCAACCUCCUGGAUUCAACUGAUCCUCCCAAUUGAAUGAUUGUUCUGAAAUACCCUCUGCAGGACUCCUUUGUGAUAUUCAUCAAAUAUUUCUUGCUCUCCACCCUCCAGACACAUGUGAUUUUCAUGGUGUGAUAUAUAGUCAACCCCACAUCAGAUCACCUGGAAUCAUUGUCGAUAUUGGGUACAACUUGCCUCACCCCAGAAUUUCAAGGAGUGUGACCUGCGAGUCUGUAUUUUUACCAGGUACCAUCUGCUGACUUCCCACAUCAGAAGCAGAAUGAUCUUCAACCCAAGACACAGGCAAAGAGAGCAUCUAACUGCUUAAAAUGAGAGCAGGAAUGGCUGUUGGCUUAGAUAGAUGGCACCCCAGAGUCCUGAAAGAACUUGCAGAUGUGAUCACAGGACCAUCUGAACCGGAGAAACCGGGGGGAAUGGAGAGACAGCAAAAGACCGGAGAUGGGAAUCUACUUACCAAGAUGGCAGGAGCAAGUGGUUAUCAGAGCCUGCUCUCUAGAAAUACAAUUAAACAAGCAGCCCCUGUCUCUUUUUCUCCACUUUCAGUCUUGGGGAAGGGAUUGGAAUAUGUGAGCAGGAGAGAAGGGUCAUGUUGGAGCAGCCAGGACUCAGAGCCUUUCCGCAGACUGAGUCUGGAUCCUUUCCUUCAGCCUCCAGGAAUACUCCCGGCUCCACACCCAGAAUGGUAAUCCAGGCAAGGGCUCUGGUGUGUGGCCACACUGCCACCUAUUACCUGCGGGUCCAAAUGCAGUGACUCAACUUCUCUGUGCCUCUCUUUCCACAUGUAUAAAAUGAGGAUAAUGUUGCUAUUGUAAGAAUUGCAUCAAUUAAUAAACAGCACUCAGUGAAUCUGUUAGCCCAUCAGUGGAUCGCGCCUUGCAUGCUGGGCAUGUUCCCUCUUCUCUCUAGACCUCAGUGACCUCAACUGUGAAGUGGCUAUAGCUAAUCCACUUGGUCUAUAGGAUUUGUAAAGGAACAUGUUAAUAACCCUCAAGUGACUGCAGAGAAUGGGGGCAUUCUUUUUGGGAAAACUAUAGAUUGUUUAUCAUCAGGGAUGAAUACUUAAAAGAAAAUCUGGGAAUUUUUUUGUAAGUCACAAAGAAGGAUUUGGGAGGGGUUGCAUGCUUUUGAAUGGGAUUGCCUCUCUGGGAACUGUAGGGAAAUGGGUGACACAGAAGUACUAGGGGUUUUGGAGCUGUUCUGAGUGAACACACAGGUCCAGUGUGGCUACUUGGAGGCAGGGCCCCUGGAAUUUAUCCUGUUUUGCCUGCAAAGCUGAUUACCCAGCUGCCUCUUCUUUUCUCACCUCCAUGAUAUUAUCACCAAGCAACUAACAACAAUUAAAUCUGAGGACUCAACAAUCACGCACUAAGAUAAAAGACCACUGUGCUGUUGUGUUUCAAUAGGUAUAUAGAGAGAAGUGGGAAACUUCAGGAUUAAUGAAAUGUAGAUAAUGUCGAGAAAUGGCCAAAACACUGAAGCACUAAAUUAGGAAAAGAGCCUUAUGCAAAUAUUUGGUACUAAUGCCUGCUUUAUUUUUUUCCUUUUUUUAGUUUAAUUUUUGUUUUUUGAUACAGGCUAGAGUGCAGUGGCACAAUCACGGCUCACUGCAGCCUCUACCUCCCAGGCUCAAGCUACCCUCCUGCCUCAGCCUCUCAAGUAGCUAAUUUUUCUGUGUUUUGAAGAGGUGGGUUCUCACUAUGUUGCCCAGGCUGGGCUCAACUCCUGGACUCAAGUGAUCUUCCUGCCCUGGCCUCCCAAAGCACUGAGAUUACAGACAUGAACCACCGUGCCCGGCCAAUGCCUGUUUUAAACAGCAGGAAUAGUCACUUAUCAGACCUUUAGAAUGGCGUGGGCAUCCAACUGGAGUGAAGUCUGAGUAUGGAUGGUUUUGAAAAGCUCCAGGCGUUAAGAGUGACUAACUUAAUGUAUUCGAAGUCCCAUACUUUCAUUACGUUUUAGUGAAGACAAAUUGGAAGCUGGUCCAAGAAACUCACUCUAUAUUUUUUGCAGUGUGCCGCAUGUUUAUAUAAACUGUGUGGUCAGCUGUACAUCAUGCUCAUUCCGUGGUGUGCAUUCGUUCCUGAUUACCUCCUUUUGUUGUUUAUUGGUUCUGAUUUGAAUUACCCUCCAGAUACUGGAUCUAGAUAACUCUUGGGAUCAGAUGGCUUUCUCUAGCCAUGAGAGUCAAGAGGAUAGUUUCGAGAGUGGGAAGUGUACAUAGCCCCUCCUGCAUUGCACAAAGUUAGCCAAAUUUAUGUCUUUUCCAUGUGCACCAUAUGAGGUGUAAGUUGGAAGGAUGAGUAGGCUUGGAAAUAGAGCUGCAGCAUGUUGGAACCUGCUCAUAAGCAUGUUGGACAUCACAGAGGCUGGAGCCCUGCAGAAGAGAAUUGUUGUAUUCAAAUGUUAUUGUGAAACCACAGGAAGAGAGCUGACCUGCCAGCAAGAAGCCUAGUUCUUCUAUUACUGAGCAUGUGACCUUGUUGGAUUAUUUUAAAUCUUCAGAAUCACAGUUAUAACACCACCCAUCCUAACUUCCUAAAGAACAAGUGAGCCUGCACACAUGUGGAGACCAUAAAACCCUAUCCAAACGCAAUGCAUGAUUAAAUAAGCACAUGCUUAUGUGAGCAUAUUGUUUAGGUUUAGUUUGCCCUGGAGGUUGUAUUUAUUAUAUAGUCUCCAAGGGCAAGAAAGCAUGUUCCACUAUAUGAUAUUCAUGUGUGCUAACUAUUAAUUCUCUGAAAAUGAUUCUGUUGUUAUUACCAAAGGACAAGGGCUAUAAGAGAGUUUUAUUAAACAAACUUGAAGUCUGUCAUCUCUAUAAAACAUCCUUAUUUGGGUAAGCAGAGAGGCUUCCACAGGUUUACAAAUGAUUUCACAAUCAAGUCUAAAAUUAGUGACAGCAUCCAAAAAGAUCUCUGGUGUCUUUCCAAACUGCUCCAAGCAUUAGACUCUCCGAAAGGGAGUGUUUCAUUAAAUCAUCACAGAGCUGGCCUAUUCUCUGUCCAGUCUGGGGUCCGUUCUUUGUAGAAUUAUGACCUUGUCAGGGCAUCCAGAGGUGAAUAGUUUCUCAGAUUCUGACUCACAUUAAUCAAAUUCACAAGAGAGUGGUAUAUAAAAUAGAAUAUCAAUUGAUUGAUUAAUUGCUAUAUACUAUCAAUUAAUUGAUAGAAGUAUUAACAAGGCAGAUACUCAUGUUUGCUGAUGAGCACAUUCAUUCCCUGAAGGCAAAUCCAUGAGGAAAUCCUGUUAAAAUACGAAGCCUUCCUGCAGAGCGUGAAAUCAGAACGAAUUUCCGAUUCAGCUGGAACCUCCAUUUCCAGCUCAGGUGAUCCCAUCACACCGACCAGUGGGGCCUCCCUCCUGCCUUGUGAGGUUGCUAAAUGAGUUGAGUAGGUCAGGGUCAGAAUUUUUAAAAUAAAUAAAUAGAAGAUUAAAAUAACAGAAAGCAUCAUACCUAGCAAGAGUAGGAUUUGUUUCAUGAAACCCGUUUUAAUUUAGAUAGAUAGAUAGAGAGAUAGAUAGAGAGACUGAUAGAAGUAUUGGGUCCUAUGUGAAAAAAAAAUGUGUUUCUUACAGUGACUGCUUUCCAAAACAAUGUGUGAACAUCACUGCUAUAGAGAUGCUAACAUCUUUUAUUUUUAAAUGAAUAUUUAUUAGGUGCCUAUUCUGUAAUCUUGUGGAGAUUAUACUGUAGGAGAGAGAUUAUGAGAGAGAUGAAAGACAGGCAAUAAACAAAUACCAAUACCCUUUAGGUCCCCUACCUCUUUCUCUAGUCUGAUGCCUCCAGUGGUACAUUUGCUCUUCCUACAGAUACAGCUUAGGAUGGACUCAUCAGUCCUCCUGUCCUAGGAUCAUGCUUGGCCUUUGAACUGGCCUGUGCCCUGGCAGGUGGUCUCUUAGGCUGGAUCUGUGCACAGAAGGGGCUGCUUUCAGCCACCACCUGCCUAGUUUUCCUUUUCCUCUUUUUCUUUUCUUUUCUUUUUUUUUUUUUGAUGGAGUCUCUCUCUUUAGCCCAGGCUAGAGUGCAGCAGUGUGAUCUCGGCUCACUGCAACCUCCACCUUCCGGGUUCAAGCGAUUCUCCUGCCUCAGCCUCCCGAGUAGCUGGGAUUACAGGCACCAGCCACCAGGCCUGGCUAAUUUUUGUAUUAUUAGCACAGACAGGGUUUCACCAUGUUGGUCAGGCUGGUCUCAAACUCCUGACCUCAUGUAAUCCACCUGCCUCGGCCUCCCAAAGGGCUGGAAUUACAGGUGUGAGCCACCGCACCCAGCCUCCUUUCCCUCUUUUAACUCUUCAUUGUUUAUAUCACCCACCCACCUUCUUGAAAUAGCUGUUGUUUUUUUUUUUUUACUCUGUCUAAAGAUAAUCAGGCAAAAUAGCACAUAAAUGUACAGUUCAAGGGCCUGAAUGAAGAAAACUACAGUAUGCAAGAAGCUGGAAGAAAUCCUGGAAAUUCUCCUUUCAACUUUCUUAUUUUUAGAUGAAGAAACAGAUUCAAGAAGGCUGUGACUUGCUCAAGGUCAAAGUCAUCCAAUAACAGAUCUGACACUAAACCCUGGAUCUGUAGACCCCAUGUCCAGUGCUCCGUCA
rnacentral:lncRNA from 1 species